rfam:Myotis davidii contig36260, whole genome shotgun sequence.
GGUGGUCCUCAGGUGACGAACCCCAGAAUCGGGCUCCCUCGUCUCUGGUUCCAGGUGUGUCACCCAAGAACCACU